rnacentral:lncRNA from 1 species
CAGAGACAGCAGGAAGAGGGGAGUGGAGGCAGCCCAUUCACCUGGGGAAAUGACUGGGUUGUCGAUGGACGGUGGCGGCAGCCCCAAGGGGGACGUGGACCCGUUCUACUAUGGCUGCGGAGAGAGACAGCUGCUGGGAGAGACCACCCAUCCCGCUCCUCUUGCCCUCUCUUUCCGGAGACUAUGAGACCGUUCGCAAUGGGGGCCUGAUCUUCGCUGGACUGGCCUUCAUCGUGGGGCUCCUCAUCCUCCUCAGCAGAAGAUUCCGCUGUGGGGGCAAUAAGAAGCGCAGGCAAAUCAAUGAAGAUGAGCCGUAACAGCAGCCUCGGCGGUGCCACCCACUGCACUGGGGCCAGCUGGGAAGCCAAGCAUGGCCCUGCCUCUGGCGCCUCCCCUUCUUCCCUGGGCUUUAGACCUUUGUCCCCGUCACUGCCAGCGCUUGGGCUGAAGGAAGCUCCAGACUCAAUGUGACCCCCAGGUGGCAUCGCCAACUCCUGCCUCGUGCCACCUCAUGCUUAUAAUAAAGCCGGCGUCAGAGACCGCUGCUUCCCUC